AUUUCACUGUUCUAGACAUUACGAACUUUUAGGAAGUUAAAAAUACUUUAGAUUAGUAUUCUUAGCAUGUUAUUUAACUUAUAUUUUCACAGCUAAUACUAGAUGAAGUUGGGACACAAAACAGAUCAAAAACUGUUCUCUCCUUAUUACAAUGCUAUUCUACUGAUUAUUUGGGAACACACCAGUGUAACAUCCCUCCCAGCAAACUGUGUGCUGUUUUAAGAGGCUUGGUUCAUGUCUUCUUCACAUCUGCUCAUUUGGCUACAGUUGGACCUAGACUAAGGAGUUACACUGGAAUCAUCCAUGGGAUGCCCAAAGAGCUGAUUCAUUUCACAGAGCUGUGUAUGCAGAGAACCCUACAAGAUUUUUCCCUUCAAUGGAGACAAUGUAAUAUACUCAUGUGCAUUAGUUCUAAUCUAUACUUUAAUGGCAGAGCCAACUGAAGAUUGGCACUUACCGUUUACCUCUACAAGGAUUAAACUGUGAACAACUGCAGCUGCUGACCCUCAACACCCCUGAAAGAGUUCAGGGAGGAGAUCAGAAGAAAGGCACUCUGUGCCUGGAAAAACAGGAAGAACAGGUCUGCAGAUACUUAGAAAUUUUCAGGCCGAGUUUCGACAACACUAUGUAGUGUUUUAUUUCCUUUUCUUAAAUUGAACAAACACAGAUAUAUUAUUGCAACUGUAAUCACUGAACAAACAUAAAUUUAUAUUAUGAUUUUAAAUAACAUUUCAAAGUGGUUCACAUUAUCUUCAUUCACUAUUAUAAUUAUACAUUUAAUGAUAAAGUAGUAAUUACUUGCAUUGAUAUUUUGUUUUAAUAUCACUGUGCAAUUCAGUUAUUUCCAGGCUGAAAAUGCAGAUAGAUUAUGCAUCUCAAAGUAUCUUUGUGAAUUAAAAAUUUUCUUUAUAUAAACUUAGAAACACAAGCACCUCAACAAUCUUGAAGUGGCAUGUAACCUAAAAGGUCAGAAUACAUAAAUGUCUUUAUAACUACUGCUAUUUAUUACCAGAUUAAUUUUUUUAAAUGUAAACCUAUUUUCAACUUCUAAAACUAUCUUAAUGCUUUCAUUUUACUAUAUCUUCUAGCAAUUAGCAUUAUAAUUUGUAAUAUUGUCUAGUGUUCAUGGUAUAAACACAGUGACUUACAGUUGAUUAAAUAUACAUUUUGUUGAUUGCUCAAAAGUGUGAAUAUUUUUUCCAUCUGUUUUUUGUAUUUGCUUCUUUUGUUAACUAACCUGUUUGAAUUCAUUCAACUUUUUUUUUUUUUUUUGCAUUUUCUUGGGCUGCUCCCGUGGCAUAUGGAGGUUCCCAGGCUAGGGGUCGAAUCAGAGCUGCUGCUGCCAGCCUACGCCAGAGCCACAGCAACAUGAGAUCCGAGCCGCGUCUGCAACCUACACCACAGCUCAUGGCAACGCCAGAUCGUUAACCCACUGAGCAAGGC
ensembl:lncRNA